rnacentral:rRNA from 1 species
ACGAACGCUGGCGGCGCGCCUAACACCUGCAAGUCGCACGGAGCUGAGAGAAGCUUGCUUUUCUUAGCUUAGUGGCGAACGGGUGAGUAACGCGUGAGUAACCUGCCCUGGAGUGGGGGACAACAGUUGGAAACGACUGCUAAUACCGCAUAAGCCCACGAUCCGGCAUCGGAUUGAGGGAAAAGGAUUUAUUCGCUUCAGGAUGGACUCGCGUCCAAUUAGCUAGUUGGUGAGGUAACGGCCCACCAAGGCGACGAUUGGUAGCCGGACUGAGAGGUUGAACGGCCACAUUGGGACUGAGACACGGCCCAGACUCCUACGGGAGGCAGCAGUGGGGGAUAUUGCACAAUGGGGGAAACCCUGAUGCAGCGACGCCGCGUGGAGGAAGAAGGUUUUCGGAUUGUAAACUCCUGUCGUGAGGGACGAUAAUGACGGUACCUAACAAGAAAGCACCGGCUAACUACGUG